CAUCGAUGAAGAACGUAGCAAAAUGCGAUACUUGGUGUGAAUUGCAGAAUCCGUGAACCGUCGAGUCUUUGAACGCAAGUUGCRCUCGAGGCCACCCGACCGAGGGCAUGCCUACCUGGGCGUCAUGC
rnacentral:rRNA from 1 species